AGGGAAGCAAAUCGAGGGAGCACAAUGGAGUCCGGCAGGGUGGGUGGACUUUUAGAGUGCGUGGCCGGAAGAGAGAGGCCUUGGGUGAAGUGUUGCCUUGCUGUGGAGAGCUCUUAGAGGACAAAUAAAAGGAACACACUCUAGGCAGAAGGAACAGCCCCUGAGAAGAACCUGAGCCCAGCAAGAGCUUGGCGUAAUCUGAGGAGCAGAGGGGGCCCCGUAGGACCGUGCACGGAGGGAUGAAGAUGCAGGGAUGCCAAGCGAGUCUGCUAAGAAUCCUGCUUCAUCUAGACCGUGCCGCACCUUUGGGAACAAGGAAACGAACGAGUAGAGCAAGAGGGAGAUUCUCCUAGAAAGAGCCGCUUCAUCUGUUAAGGAGGAACUAUGAAACCUCUUACAGCAGGCUGCGACCUCCCUGUCCAUCCUGUGUAAAAUAUGAAAUAAGAGUUUUAAUUACCGAGCUUGGAAGGCUGCCGACAUGUUUAAUAUUUAAUGUCUCCAAUGCCUGUGCCCCAGGCGUGCCGGCACUGACACAAUUGGGGUUUCCCUUGGGUUGGUUCUGAAUGUACUUGGACAACAGCCAGGCAGCCGCCUUCCCCAACACCUGGGAGCCUCCUGUAGCCCAGCCUGGGCCCAGGCCUGCCCUGAGCCUCCCACCCCCUGAGGGACUCCUGACGAGAAGGCCCAGUGAGGCCUGUUCUUCCACCUCAGGGUGGACAUCAGGUCCUGGAGGCCCUGCGAACUAGCUAGUUAGUACUGGACCCAGCUCAGGGUCCUGGCAGAGAAACGAGAGUCAGUAGAAGAUGGGAGCCCAGGAGGGGGCCGGGGCAGAUGAGCUUGAGUUUGAGGUCUGCUUUUCUGCAAGCCAUUUAGCCCUUUCUCUGGGUGUCACUUUUAUUAUUCAUAAAGCGGAGAGUGU
rnacentral:lncRNA from 1 species